rnacentral:rRNA from 1 species
GAUGAACGCUGGCGGCGUGCUUAACACAUGCAAGUCGAGCGAAGCGAUUUUGAUGAAGUUUUCGGAUGGAAUUAAGAUUGACUGAGCGGCGGACGGGUGAGUAACGCGUGGGUAACCUGGCCUCAUACAGGGGGAUAACAGUUAGAAAUGACUGCUAAUACCGCAUAAGCGUACAGGAUCGCAUGGUCCGGUAGUGAAAAAACUCCGGUAGGUAUGAGAUGGACCCGCGUCUGAUUAGCUUGUUGGCGGGGUAACGGCCC